rnacentral:rRNA from 1 species
CAGCAGCCGCGGUAAUACAGAGGGUGCGAGCGUUAAUCGGAUUUACUGGGCGUAAAGCGUGCGUAGGCGGCUUCUUAAGUCGGAUGUGAAAUCCCUGAGCUUAACUUAGGAAUUGCAUUCGAUACUGGGAAGCUAGAGUAUGGGAGAGGAUGGUAGAAUUCCAGGUGUAGCGGUGAAAUGCGUAGAGAUCUGGAGGAAUACCGAUGGCGAAGGCAGCCAUCUGGCCUAAUACUGACGCUGAGGUACGAAAGCAUGGGGAGCAAACAGGAUUAGAUACGCCGGUAGUCCCUGUCUCUUAUAC